GUACUAUUCCAUUGUAUACAUAUACCGCAUCUUUAUCCCUUCAUCAUUGAAGGCCCUUGGGUCGCUCCUGUCUCUGGUUACUCGGGUCUGCUCAGCUGGCUCUCGGGCUCCUCCACUGGCUCUCCACAGGCUUCGGAGCUGCUGGCCCAGCACCACCUGCACUGCUGCUCCCGGGAUGUCCUGGGGUGCUGGCUGCGCUGCUGCCAGCGGAGCUGGUUCACAGGUGUCACUGUCACUGUCGGCGGAGACGGCGGACUUACAGCCCCUGCUGCUGGUGGAGCUGGUGUGGGGUUGCCGCCACUGGGGGCUGGGUUUCCAGCUGUGCUGAAGUCCCUGUUGCUCCUGGGUGCGGAUGCCGCCUUCCACCGCUGGGGGCGGCACGGGCUGUAUCUCCUGUUCCCACCCCUCCUGCUCCUGUUGGUGUGCAGGUUCAGACCGCUGGGCGUUCCAGGCAGGGCCACAGCCGCAGGGGGCGCGUCGCCGCCCAGCCGCCUCCUCUCCUGGUCGCGCUGGGCGGGGCGCGGUCCCGCAGAAGGGCCGCCGCCAGUGGGCGCCCCCGCGGCUGCCCCGCCCCCCAAGCUCCGCCCGCCGGCCCUGCGCGCGGGUCCGCGCCCCCAGCUGCUGCAGGAGGGCCAGAUCCCCAGCUCCCGCCCGCCUGCCCGCGCGCCGCCCUGGGAGGUGCACCUGUGGGGUCCGUCAGGGUUCCCUGCGCGGUGUCGGACGCCUGCUGCUCCACGGCGGCUUCGUUCCGAAGACUUAACCCCUGAAAGCACUAACGUGUCUCCAACCGAUGCCAGAGCCUGUCACUUACACUCCUUGCCGCUUUCCCCACAGCUGUCUACAGUAUUUGAAUUACUGUCUUCUUCGCAUUUCUGGUUACUAGUCAACAACUGUUUAAUUUCUAUCCAAGGAUGAUUAAAUCCACGUACACUGAAACAAGAAAUAUGCACUCACAAUACUAAAGGAUGACCUGGUCCGUGAUACUUUGGUCACUUCCUCUGCUUAUUGGUUCGAUAAACCUCCUAGGUCUGGUACGCUGCUCGCUCACAUCUACUACUCAACCCUCAACGAUUUAGGUGUGGUUGUUCCUCUCAGGGCAAGAGCGGUCAUUACUGGUUUUAGCCAUAAAUCUAUAGCGUGUGGAUGGUGGGAGAGAGAAGCUGCCUUUUCCUCUGUGGGGCCAACCAUCUGGAGACAUUGGGAUAAGACUUGUCUGCACAAAGAGAGAAUGACAUCAAACUACACCAAACAUUUGGAAAUUUCAGAGGGAGAGACUUGAGGACGUGAUUUGAGUCCUGAGGUCGCCUCCCCCUGAUGUGAGGUGGGUGAGCUGAGGAGUCAAAAGAAAGGUUUCUUGGGGUCUCAAGGUCUGGCAGUAGUGCUCUUUUAUUUAGAGAAUAGUGUGGAAUAGCAUGCGGACAGGACCCAUGGGCAGUCAGAGCUGCUGCUGCAAACAUGGGUGGAGAGUAAGGAUAAAUUUAAGGCAUAGGUAUGUGAGUUAUCUCUUUACAAGACGAAGGAAAGAAUAUGUAAAAAAACGUUGUUAAAAUGGUAUCAGCACUGGUAGGGUCUCAUUAUUGGGUGGUCCUAUAACUUUUAGAUAAGAAUCAAACUAGAUUAAGUAAGUGGCAGAAGCCACCGCUUAAAUAUUAUCUAUAGCUAAAGACAAAGGAGGAUGUUGGGGGGGCAGGGUCAGUUACAUGAGGCUACCAGACAGUAAACAGCUUAAGUCCUUGCUGUCCCCAUUAAGAGUUUCCAGAGGUAAGGCCAUCCUGCCUUCCUCCUGGUGCAGAGAGGGACACACCCCCCACAGACAGAGACUUCCUUCACAGAUGCAAAUGUCUCUCAUCAAAGGGCAAGCAAAGUCCACUCCUCAGAGCCCACUUCUCAUCUACAGUUUUAAAAGUAACCAGCC
rnacentral:lncRNA from 1 species